GACAGAGGAGCCAAGCGUUGUCCGGACUGACUGGGCGUAAAGCGCCCGCAGGCGGCCGUGCACGUGGGGUGUGAAAGCGCUCGGCUUAACUGAGCGAGGCCAUCCCAUACGGCGCGGCUCGAGCCGUCCAGAGGCCGGUGGAAUUGCCGGUGUAGUGGUGAAAUGCGUAGAUAUUGGGAGGAACACCAGUGGCGAAGGCGGCUCGCUGGACCGGUUCUGACGCUGAGGCGCGGAAAGCGUGGGGAGCAACGGGG
rnacentral:rRNA from 1 species